rnacentral:rRNA from 1 species
UGGGGAAUUUUGGACAAUGGGGGAAACCCUGAUCCAGCCAUCCCGCGUGUGCGAUGAAGGCCUUCGGGUUGUAAAGCACUUUUGGCAGGAAAGAAACGUCAUGGGUUAAUACCCCGUGAAACUGACGGUACCUGCAGAAUAAGCACCGGCUAACUACGUGCCAGCAGCCGCGGUAAUACGUAGGGUGCAAGCGUUAAUCGGAAUUACUGGGCGUAAAGCGUGCGCAGGCGGUUCGGAAAGAAAGAUGUGAAAUCCCAGAGCUCAACUUUGGAACUGCAUUUUUAACUACCGGGCUAGAGUGUGUCAGAGGGAGGUAGAAUUCCGCGUGUAGCAGUGAAAUGCGUAGAUAUGCGGAGGAACACCGAUGGAGAAGGCAGCCUCCUGGGAUAACACUGACGCUCAUGCACGAAAGCGUGGGGAGCAAACAGG